UGAUCCUGGCUCAGAAUGAACUCUAGCAAUACGCUUUACACAUGCAAGUUUAACACUGUUAUAGUGUAGCGAACGGGUGAGUAAUACGCAAGAAUCUGCC
rnacentral:rRNA from 1 species